rnacentral:Y_RNA from 1 species
GGCUGGUCCAAAAGUAAUAGGUUACCAAAGUUAUUACUGUUAGUUUCACUAACCUUUCUAAAUUCCACCCUGCUCCUAACCUUGUCUGGUUUUUG